rnacentral:rRNA from 1 species
UGAACGCUAGCGGCAGGCUUAACACAUGCAAGUCGAGGGGCAGCAUAACAUUGCUUGCAAUGUUUGAUGGCGACCGGCGCACGGGUGCGUAACGCGUAUGUAACCUACCUCAAACAGGGGCAUAACACUGAGAAAUUGGUACUAAUUCCCCCAUAACACUUUAGGAGGCAUCUUCUGGAGUUGAAAGUUCAGGCGGUUAUGGAUGGGCAUGCGUUGUAUUAGCUAGAUGGUGAGGUAACGGCUCACCAUGGCUACGAUACAUAGGGGGACUGAGAGGUUAACCCCCCACACUGGUACUGAGACACGGACCAGACUCCUACGGGAGGCAGCAGUGAGGAAUAUUGGUCAAUGGGCGAGAGCCUGAACCAGCCAAGUAGCGUGAAGGAAGACUGCCCUAUGGGUUGUAAACUUCUUUUGUUCGGGAAUAAAGUGCAGUACGCGUACUGUUUUGUAUGUACCGUUCGAAUAAGCAUCGGCUAAUUCCGUG